rnacentral:lncRNA from 1 species
AUCUGUGAGGUGUAUGGAUAGGCAUGUGUUUAUCCAGGUGGAGGCCUGCAGUUGAUCCUGGCCAUCUUCCUCUGCUUUGCUAGGUGGGAACAUGAUUUUAUUGUGAUGCAUUCUUACCACGUGCAUACAACUUCAUAGAGCUGCAAGGGCAGCAGACUCGGAGAAAGAGCCACAGGAGAGACAGAGGCACGGAGCGGGAGCAGAUCGGCAGGCCAUACCCUUGAAAAAGCCAACUGACUCCCCAGCUGUGUAAUGCGAUCAAUUCUCCUGGGAAGAAUGAAGAAACCAGGAAGCUGAUCCUUUCACAUAACCCAGGGUUUCUGAGAUCACAAAUCAUCUGCUUUCUGAGUCCGGGGGUGGGCUGGGGUGAGGGGGGUGUUGCUUGUCAAAGGGGAAGGCAAUGAAGAUGAACUCAUUACAUUAACGUGGUUACCUCAUUUCAACUGAC